UACGUAGGGGGCGAGCGUUGUCCGGAUUUAUUGGGCGUAAAGAGCGUGUAGGCGGCCAGGUAGGUCGGUUGUGAAAACUGGAGGCUUAACCUUCAGACGUCGACCGAAACCAUCUGGCUAGAGUCCGGAAGAGGAGAGUGGAAUUCCUGGUGUAGCGGUGAAAUGCGCAGAUAUCAGGAGGAACACCUAUUGCGAAGGCAGCUCGCUGGGACGUAACUGACGCUGAGACGCGAAAGCGUGGGGAGCAAACAGG
rnacentral:rRNA from 1 species